rfam:Myotis davidii contig196331, whole genome shotgun sequence.
AGAUGUGAGGGCGAUCUGGUUGCGACAUCUGUCACCCCAUUGAUUGCCAGGGUUGAUUUGGCUGAUCUGGAUGGCUAGGCAGGUGUCCCCCUCCUCCCUCACCAAUCCAUGUGCGUCCCUCCCAAAGCUGCGCACUUGGUCAAAGAGGACGAUCUUCCUCCCAUAGAGGAGAGGACCAGUCUUCAGUCAAGGGUAUAGGAGUAGCUGAAUUCCCCUGCUAGAACCUUCAAAUAAGCUCUCAAAGUGAAUGUCUUCCUUUCCACUCAAUCCCUGAGCUUUUAGCAUUUCAUGUCAGCCUUGGUAGCUAGAGCUAGUGAGA